rnacentral:rRNA from 1 species
AACGAACGCUGGCGGCAUGCCUAACACAUGCAAGUCGAACGAGACCUUCGGGUCUAGUGGCGCACGGGUGCGUAACGCGUGGGAACCUGCCCUUAGGUUCGGAAUAACUCCCCGAAAGGGGUGCUAAUACCGGAUAAUGUCUUCGGACCAAAGAUUUAUCGCCUUUGGAUGGGCCCGCGUUGGAUUAGCUAGUUGGUAGGGUAAAAGCCUACCAAGGCGACGAUCCAUAGCUGGUCUGAGAGGAUGAUCAGCCACACUGGGACUGAGACACGGCCCAGACUCCUACGGGAGGCAGAAGGGGGGAAUGUUGGACAAGGGGCGAAAGCUGUAUCCAGCAAGGCCGCGGGAGUAAAGAAGCCUUUAGGGUUGAAAAGCUUUUUUCCCCGGGAGAAAAAUGACAGUCCGGGAAGAAUAGCCUCCGGCAAACCCGGUC